rnacentral:piRNA from 1 species
UCGAACUGUCCUUCAAGUAAUGCGAACC